CCUACGGGUGGCAGCAGUGGGGAAUAUUGCUCAAUGGGGGAAACCCUGAUGCAGCAACGCCGCGUGCAUGAUGAAGGUUUUCUUUUUGUAAAGCUCUUUUGGUAGGGAAGUUAAUGACGGUACCUAAGGAAGAAGCACCGGCUAACUACGUGCCAGCAGCUGCGGUAAUACGGCAGGUGCACGCGUUAUUCGGAAUUACUGGGUGUAAAGAGAGCGUAGGCGGGAUAGCAAGUCUGUUGUGAAAGCGUCGGGCUCAACCAUAGAACUGCAUUUGAAACUGUGAGGCUAGAGUAGGGGAGAGGUAGGCGGAAUGCGUGGUGUAGCGGUGAAAUGCGUAGAGAUAAAGAGGAACACUCAUUGCGAAGGCGACUUACUAGAGCGUAACUGACGCUGAGGCUCGAACGCGUGGGUAGCAAACAGGAUUAGAUACCCUCGUAGUC
rnacentral:rRNA from 1 species